UACAUUAAUACAAAACAUUUUGGUGUGAAAAAUGCAAACUCUUCAACAUGCAAAUAUGUUGAUAUGCUGGAAGACCUAUUUGUUGGUGAUUUUCUGUGGGGGUAAGUGAACCUAAAGAAAAUGAGACAUUUUGUUUGACAUUUGUUAGUCUAUAUUAAUAAGCACAAAACUGAAUGACUUAUGACGUCUUCUAAAAACUAUAUUUAAAAAAUUCCAAAAUGUUAUAUGUUCAGAGACCCCACUGUCUGUUCUAAGCAAUAUGAUCAGAGAAAUGUCUAUAAUGAAAGUGGCGCGCAUGCAGGUUGAUGUAUGAUCUUGACUUGCUCAUUAUGACCCACUGAGAACAAAUAAACUGAAAGAUGCCAGUUUAGAAUACAUGUUUUGUUUCCCCUUUUAGAGUUCUGUUCUUCUGAAAACCAUAUCACACCAAAGAAACAGGAAGUUUCAGGACUCCAGGGAGAAUACAUUAUGUUUCCAGUGCCGGUCUCUCAAUAUGGUGGUAUGAGGACUGAAGGAGGAGAGACCCUUGCAACUGUCUUUGGAGGUCAGGUUAGAGUUGAAGAUAUGCCUAGGUUUAAGAGUCGCCUGCGCUGGGACAGUCAGACUGGACACUUCUCUCUUCAUAACUUGACAGUUGCUGACUCGGGCAGUUAUGUCAUAGAGAGCACUGAGGGCUUAGAAGGAAAGUAUACUUUUAGGCUAACUGUGUAUGAGCCAUUGUCCAGUCCUAAGGUGACACUGCAUGACAAGAGUUCGUGCACUUGGACAUGCUCCGUGGAGAAUGGCAGAAAUGUCUCUUUGUCCUGGUAUGAAGAAAACAUGGUCUUGAACCAGACUAGGAACCCUGACAUCAACACCAAUCUGAGUCUUCACCUUACAAGUGAACGCCUUUCCAGUUAUAACUGUGUAGCUGCCAACCCAAUAAUCAAUGUGACAUUCCAGCUGUCAUCUGACCACUUACAGGAGAGAUGUCUUGCAUCUUCUUCCACAGGUAUGACACCAAUCAAUCAAUCAAUCAUCAUCCAUUGAAGCAAAUUGGUGGUAAAUGUCUACUAUACAGUGAUCAUUUCUAUCUAGACAUCCAACGGGAAUGAAAGUAGCCAUUCAUAGCCUGUUGGAAAACUAGACACAUUCUCCUUUUCUGAUUUGAUUAUCUUCAUUACAAACCUGGUGCAAAAUGACCUUUAUACAUACAACAGAUCAUGAUGAUAUUGAAUGUGAUUCUGAUCCAUGGUAGUAGUACAAGCACCGAUGCUGACUAUGAAAUCCGGUGGUGUUUAAUUGAUGUAUGAAAGGUACAGUCCUGGAUUCAAAUUUGACUAAGUGUAAUGGAAUAUAAUCAAAGACUGCACAUUUAACUGCAAUAUAUCAGUUUCACAAGAUAUGUCAAUAUUCUAACCAAGACAUGCUCGUUAAGGGAAAACUAGUAUAAUGAAAUUAUACUAUUCCCUAUGUGCAGGAUUUUCUCACAAGAAAAUUUGAUACUGAUAGAAUGUAAUUUGUAGUCUCAAUAAUAACAACAACAAUGUGCAAUGUGAACAUUUACAUAAAAUGCCUUGAUUACACUGAAAAUGUUUCUGUUUCUUUUGGCAGAUCCAGAAGGAAAACACAUAAUCUAUAUUCCAGUGCUGUGUGUGGUCUGUAUUAUUGCAGUAGUUGGAGUUUUUCUUUGUCUAAGGAAAAGGAGAAACCACAUAGAAGGCAGGUAGCUAUUUGUCCAUCCUAUUGUCCCACCUUUUAGCAGAAGGGAUGUUAAAAAGUUUUAAAUGAUUUUCAGGGUUCAGCUAUUAAAUGGAAGCCCAGCAGUGCAUGUGAUGAAACAAACUGGAAAAUUAUUAUCUUAUGACUUCCAGACAUUAUCUUAUUACUAUUAAAUGGUAUAUUAAGGAAAUCUAUCCAAAUGAAAUAUUUUCCUUUCAUAUCAUAGAAACACUUUCAACAGGUUUGUAAAAUGAGGACAUGAUAGAUACUCAAGCAACUUCUACUUCUAAUGCGCAUAUGUAGCAUAAAUAUGUUUGUAGAAUACAAUCUAAUAUGAUCAAAAGUAAUUUGAUCAAACAUUCACACCAACAUUCAUAAAUUCAACAUUCACCAUCAUGUCAUUAUGUUUGCUCUGUUAACAGAAGCCAAAGCAGUAAAUUAUCCACUGAAUUUAUCUCAGAUAACAACUUGAAGCACAGUGUUUGUCAGUUUCUUUCAGUUUGGGUCUUGUGAUUGGAGUAGUAUUCUGUCAUUCUGUUUGCUCUGUUAACAGAAGCCAAAGCAGUACAUUAUCCACUGAACUUAUCUCAGAUAACAACUUGAAGCACAGUGUUUGUCAGUUUCUUUCAGUUUGGGUCUUGGUGAUUGGAGUACCGUAAUUUCCGGACUAUAAGCCGCUACUUUUUCCCCACGCUUUGAACCUCGCGGCUUAAACAAUGACGCGGCUAAUUUAUGGAUUAUGAUACCUGUGACGGUGGCUUUGUGUUUACGGUGGCUUUGUGGAGCUAGGAUGCUAGCAUGGAUGCAGCCGCAUGGAUGCUUAGCUCCACGCGAUUUCUCAGUAUCUCUCAAUAACUUAACUAAUGUCAAAAUAACCACAGUCUACCGGCGUAGACAGAACACAACUCAAAACACUUAAGAAAAUAAAAAAAAGUUUACAACAAUACA
rnacentral:lncRNA from 1 species